CCUGCAUUACACAGACUACAAGCCAAUGACAGUUUGCUCCAUCACUUUAAGAACCGCCUCAGUUCUGUUACCGUGGUACGUACAGUACGUUUCGUUGACUAUUUCGAAAUAAGAAAGGUGGAAAAACCCUAACCCCUCCUGAUCCGGCUCUGGCGGAGAGAGAGAGACCUAUAAUGUCGUCGACUCUACUAGAGGUAACUCGCGCGGCUCAUGAGGAAGUGGAGCGGCUCGAACGGCUCGUAGUGAAGGAUCUACAGACCGAGCCUGCCUCCAACAAGGACCGGUUGUUUCAGACUCACCGCGUCCGUAACAUGAUCGAUACAAUCACUGCCACUACCGAAAAACUCGUUGAGAUUUAUGAAGAUAAAGAUAAUGCGAGGAAGGAUGAGAUUGCAGCUCUUGGAGGCCAAACUGCGACAGGAACAAAUGUGUUUAGUGCAUUUUACGAUAGAUUAAAGGAGAUUCGUGAGUACCAUAGAAGGCAUCCAGCUGCACGAGUUGUUGAUGCUAAUGAGGAAUUUGAAAAUCUGCUUAAGGAGGAACCGAUAAUUGAGUUUAGUGGAGAGGAAGCCUUUGGUCGGUACCUAGAUUUGCAUGAAUUGUUUAAUCAGUACAUUAACUCUAAGUUCGGAGAACGCAUUGAGUACUCAGUUUACCUUGAUGUUUUUUCACAGCCACUUAAGAUCCCCCGCAAAAUGAAGAUGACAAGGCAGUACAGGGAAUAUAUGGAAAAUCUGCUUGAGUAUUUAAUUUACUUUUUUCAGCGGACUGAGCCACUGCAAGACCUGGAUAGAAUAUUCUCAAAGGUUGAGGCUGAUUUUGAAGAGCAAUGGACCCAUGGCACAAUACCAGGAUGGGAUAAUGAGAGUCAAGAAAAUGGACUUGUUGCUUCUGAGCAUACUGUAAUAGAUCUUGACUAUUACAGCAGUGUUGAAGAGCUAAUGGAAGUGGGUCCUGAAAAGUUGAAGGAGGCAUUGGCUGCAUUAGGACUGAAGAGUGGCGGUACUUUACAGCAGCGUGCAGAGAGGCUUUUCCUUACAAAGCAUACUCCUUUAGAGAAGUUGGACAAGAAACAUUUUGCCAAAGGUUUGCAUGGGCCUGAAAAAAAUGGGGUUGCACCACCGCCACAAGAAGUUAGCAAUUUAAAAGACAUUGCUUUGAUGGAGGCUAAAGUGCAAAAACUGUGUGACUUACUGGAAGAGACAAUAGAACGAACCAAACAAAAUGUUGAGAAGAAACAAGCUUUGACAUAUGAGGAAAUGGAAGCAGAACGCGAGGAACAGGAGGAGACCCAAGUUGACACUGAAAGUGAUGAUGAAGAGCAGCAGAUCUACAAUCCCCUAAAAUUACCAAUGGGUUGGGAUGGGAAACCUAUACCUUAUUGGCUGUACAAGCUUCAUGGUCUGGGACAGGAGUUCAAGUGUGAAAUAUGUGGGAACUACAGCUAUUGGGGACGUAGAGCUUUUGAGCGGCAUUUCAAGGAAUGGCGCCAUCAACAUGGAAUGCGUUGUCUUGGUAUUCCAAACACCAAAAACUUUAAUGAAAUCACAUCAAUUGAGGAAGCCAAAGAUCUGUGGAAGAAAAUUCAAGAACGCCAAGGUGUGAACAAGUGGCGCCCAGAUCUGGAAGAGGAAUAUGAAGACAAAGAGGGUAACAUCUACAACAAGAAGACAUACACUGAUUUGCAGCGCCAAGGACUGAUCUAAGGAGAAUGAUUAUCUCUGGGAUUCAAGAGAAACUCACAUUUCAUUCUAUGGUGGCAAAUAAAGAAUACUAUAGUCUGUAUGAACACUCAGGUCAAACAUAAUCUGGUUCUGAUAUCAUGAACUCUUUCGCUGGCUGCUUUCAUCUGAAGAAAGCUAGAAAAACGCUUGGGUAUGAGGACCCAGCAAUCUGGCAUCAGGUCAGCGUGUGUGUACAGAUUAUAUCUGCUUGGCGAAAUGUAAUGCUGCUAUAUUCCUGUUACAGUAAUUAGCAUAUUUUUGCAGUCAGGAUUAUUUGCACCAUGAGAUGUAGCCUUUGAAGUGACAGUCUGUUUUACUCUAUUUAAAUGAAAAAAAGAAUAAAUUUCAAUGUGUUAA